rnacentral:rRNA from 1 species
AUUGAACGCUGGCGGCAGGCCUAACACAUGCAAGUCGAAUGGUAACAGGAAACAGCUUGCUGUUUCGCUGACGAGUGGCGGACGGGUGAGUCAUGUCUGGGAAACUGCCUGAUGGAGGGGGAUAACUACUGGAAACGGUAGCUAAUACCGCAUAACGUCGCAAGACCAAAGAGGGGGACCUUCGGGCCUCUUGCCAUCAGAUGUGCCCAGAUGGGAUUAGCUAGUAGGUGGGGUAACGGCUCACCUAGGCGACGAUCCCAAGCUGGUCUGAGAGGAUGACCAGCCACACGGUAACUGAGACACGGCCCAGACUCCGACGGGAGGCAGCAGUGGGGAAUAUUGCACAAUGGGCGCAAGCCUGAUGCAGCCAUGCCGCGUGUAUGAAGAAGGCCUUCGGGUUGUAAAGUACUUUCAGCGGGGAGGAAGGGAGUAAAGUUAAUACCUUUGCUCAUUGACGUUACCCGCAGAAGAAGCACCGGCUAACUCCGUG